rnacentral:rRNA from 1 species
GCCCAGUGAAUCUUUUAAACGGCCGCGGUAUCCUAACCGUGCAAAGGUAGCAUAAUCACUUGUCCUCCAAAUAAGGACUAGUAUGAAUGGUCAAAUGAGGACUAAACUGUCUCUUACAUUCAACCAAUAAAACUGAUCUUUCAGUCAAAAAGCUGAAAUAAAAACAUAAGACGAGAAGACCCUGUGGAGCUUAAAACCAAACCCAACCAUAUGAUCAUUUGGUUUUUAGUUGGGGCGACUUCGGAGCACAAAAAACCCUCCGACAAAAUUUUAUUAAGAUCAACACAUCAAGGUAAUUAUUUAGACCCAGUAUACCUCCAUAUAUCUGACUAACGAACCAAGUUACCCCAGGGAUAACAGCGCCAUCCCCUUCUAGAGUCCCUAUCGACAAGGGGGUUUACGACCUCGAUGUUGGAUCAGGACACCCCAAUAGUGCAGCCGCUAUUAAAGGUUCGUUUGUUCAACGAUUAAAGUCCUACGUGAUCUGAGGUUUCAGACCG